GAUGAACGCUGGCGGCGUGCCUAAUACAUGCAAGUCGAGCGAACGGACGAGAAUCUUGCUUCUCUGAUGUUAGCGGCGGACGGGUGAGUAACACGUGGAUAACCUACCUAUAAGACUUGGAUAACUUCGGGAAACCGGAGCUAAUACCGGAUAAUAUUUUGAACCGCAUGGUUCAAAAGUGAAAGACGGUCUUGCUGUCACUUAUAGAUGGAUCCGCGCUGCAUUAGCUAGUUGGUAAGGUAACGGCUUACCAAGGCAACGAUGCAUAACCGACCUGAGAGGGUGAUCGGCCACACUGGAACUGAGACACGGUACAGACUCCGACGGGAGGCAGCAGUAGGGAAUCUUGCGCAAUGGGCGAAAGCCUGACGGAGCAACGCAGCGUGAGUGAUGAAGGUCUUCGGAUCGUAAAACUCUGUUAUUAGGGAAGAACAUAUGUGUAAGUAACUGUGCACAUCUUGACGGUACCUAGUGAGAAAGCCACGGCUAACUACGUG
rnacentral:rRNA from 1 species